rnacentral:rRNA from 1 species
GACGUAGGGCGCGAGCGUUGUCCGGAUUUAUUGGGCGUAAAGAGCUCGUAGGCGGCUUGUUACGUCGACUGUGAAAUCCCGCGGCUCAACUGCGGGCUUGCAGUCGAUACGGGCAGGCUAGAGUUCGGUAGGGGAGACUGGAAUUCCUGGUGUAGCGGUGGAAUGCGCAGAUAUCAGGAGGAACACCGGUGGCGAAGGCGGGUCUCUGGGCAGUAACUGACGCUGAGGGGCGAAAGCGUGGGAGCGAACGAGG